AACGAACGCUGGCGGCAGGCCUAACACAUGCAAGUCGAGCGAGCAUUUCGGUGCUAGCGGCGGACGGGUGAGUAACGCGUGGGAACGUGCCCUUUUCUGCGGAAUAGUCCUGGGAAACUGGGGGUAAUACCGCAUACGCCCUUUUGGGGAAAGAUUUAUCGGAGAAGGAUCGGCCCGCGUUGGAUUAGGUAGUUGGUGGGGUAAUGGCCCACCAAGCCGACGAUCCAAAGCUGGUUUGAGAGGAUGAUCAGCCACACUGGGACUGAGACACGGCCCAGACUCCUACGGGAGGCAGCAGUGGGGAAUCUUAGACAAUGGGGGCAACCCUGAUCUAGCCAUGCCGCGUGAGUGAUAAGGCCUUAGGGUUGUAAAGCUCUUUCAGCUGGGAAGAUAAUGACGGUACCAGCAGAAGAAGCCCCGGCUAACUCCGUG
rnacentral:rRNA from 1 species